rnacentral:rRNA from 1 species
GAUGAACGCUGGCGGCGUGCCUAAUACAUGCAAGUCGAGCGAACAGAUAAGGAGCUUGCUCCUUUGACGUUAGCGGCGGACGGGUGAGUAACACGUGGGUAACCUACCUAUAAGACUGGGAUAACUCCGGGAAACCGGGGCUAAUGCCGGAUAACAUUUAGUACCGCAUGGUUCUAAAGUGAAAGAUGGUUUUGCUAUCACUUAUAGAUGGACCCGCGCCGUAUUAGCUAGUUGGUAAGGUAACGGCUUACCAAGGCAACGAUACGUAGCCGACCUGAGAGGGUGAUCAGCCACACUGGAACUGAGACACGGUCCAGACUCCUACGGGAGGCAGCAGUAGGGAAUCUUCCGCAAUGGGCGAAAGCCUGACGGAGCAACGCCGCGUGAGUGAUGAAGGUCUUCGGAUCGUAAAACUCUGUUAUUAGGGAAGAACAAAUGUGUAAGUAACUGUGCACGUCUUGACGGUACCUAAUCAGAAAGCCACGGCUAACUACGUG